CAGUCGCCACGGUAAUACGGAGGGAGCUAGCGUUGUUCGGAAUUACUGGGCGUAAAGCGCGCGUAGGCGGUUACUCAAGUCAGAGGUGAAAGCCCGGGGCUCAACCCCGGAACUGCCUUUGAAACUAGGUGACUAGAAUCUUGGAGAGGUCAGUGGAAUUCCGAGUGUAGAGGUGAAAUUCGUAGAUAUUCGGAAGAACACCAGUGGCGAAGGCGACUGACUGGACAAGUAUUGACGCUGAGGUGCGAAAGCGUGGGGAGCAAACAGGAUUAGAGACCCCCGUAGUCCCUGUCUCUUAUAC
rnacentral:rRNA from 1 species